rnacentral:rRNA from 1 species
ACAGCCACCCUAAACAUGCCUGAUCUCAGCUGAUCUCAUGAACUGAGCCGGUUUGGUCCUGGUUAUCACUUGGAUGGGAAACCACCUGGAAUAUCGGGCAGUGUA